GACAACCGGAGAAAAAGUCUCAUCAAAAUCAAUGCCUUGUUGUUGUUUGUAACCCUGAGCCACUAGUCGAGCUUUGAGACGCUCAAGAGAGCCAUCCGCCUUCUGUUUGACUUUGUAGACCCAUUUACAGCCAAUAAGAUUGACAGAAGGAGGAGCAGGAACAAGCUCCCAAGUAUCAUUGGUGAGUAAUGCAUCAAAUUCUUCAGCCAUGGCAGCACGCCAAUCUGCAUCCUGAAAAGCUUCAUGAAAAGUGAUAGGCUCAGUAGGAAGAGUAGUAUGUGUAGAAGCUAGGAAGGAGGUAGACCCAGCAAAAUUCUUAGCCAUAGAUCGAGUAAGCAUAGAGUGUGUCCGGAUUGGUAAGGAAGGCUCUGCAGGCUGAGGUGAAGGUGGCCUGUCCGAUGUGGAAGGCGUCAACUCAACAGGAGAAGGUAAAGCUGUAGCAGCAGAAGGUCGGAGGGUGUGUCGUCUGGUAUAGACUCGGAGUUCAGGUGGACCAGCAACAGUGGCAGCAUGUUCAUCACUAACCUGUGUGGCAUCAUGAUUCAAGGUGGAAGGAAAAGUCGAUACAGUCUCAGAUGGUGAAACAGAUGCAUUUGAACUAACAUCCGGAGAAAGGCGUGUGAAGGAAAAACCAGAGAUGGCAUCAAGAGAGGAAGGACUUUCGCCCAAUAAGGGAGGAUUAGAAAGAAAAUGUUGAAACAUUUGAAAAUUUGAGGUAGUGGGGGAAGAUGAGGAAGAAAAUUUGGACAGACAAGAGUAAGGAAAAACAGUUUCAACAAAAGUAACAUGGCGAGAAAUAAAAACUUUACCAGUGCUCGGAUAGAGGCAGCGAAAGCCCUUAUGUUUGUCAGAAAGACCCAAGAAAAUACAAGGAAGUGAUCGGGGAGAGAGCUUGUGAUCUGCAAUGUCCUGAACAUCGGGAUAACACAAACAUCCAAAGACUCUGAUAAGUUGCAAGUCAGGAGAAGCACAACCAUGGAGAAUGUCAUAUGGUGACCGCCCAUUUAAAACAGUAAGAGACGGAAGUCGAUUUACAAGAAAAACAGCAGUUUGAAUGGCCUCAGCCCAAAAACGAGGAGGCAAGCCAGCUUGGAAUAGUAGACUUCUAACAAUGUUAGAUAAAUGCCUAUGUUUUCUCUCAGCAAGGCCAUUUUGUUGAGGAGUGUAAGGACAAGAAAAUCGGUGAAUAAUUCCAUUUUGUGAGCAAAAACUAGAAAACUUGUCAUUUACAAAUUCCGUACCAUUGUCAGAUUGAAAAAUUUUUAUUGAGCUAUGAAAUAUAUUUUCAACCAUCUUCUUGAACUCGAAAAAUUUGUCAAAAACUUCAUGUUUAAAUUUUAAAAGAUAAAGCCAGGAAAAUCUAGAAUAAUCGUCGAUAAAAAUAACAUAAUAUUUGUAUCCAGAAACCGAGGGCACAGGUGAUUGCCAAACAUCAGAAUGAACAAUAUGAAAAGGAAAAGCAGAUUGAGAUUCUGAAUCAUGAAAUGAGAGUUUAACAUGUUUUCCCAUAUUACAAGCAUUGCAGACAGAUAAUUUCAGUGCAGAAUCAGAAACAAUUUUAUUAUUUUUAAUAAAUGUAGAAAGAACAGGAAGACUAGGAUGACCUAACCGUCUAUGCCAGACAUCUCCACUAAAUCUAGAUGCAAUAAGAGCUAGUUGUUGCUUAUUCCCUACACUUGCAAGUCUAGAAGAAAUUGGAUAAAGUGAUGUUCCCGAGCUAGGACAUCGAAGAAGCUCCUUCCCUGUUUCCUUGUCCUUCACAGAGAAACCAGUAGAGUCAAAUUCAAAAAGAGAAUUAUUAUCUUGACAGAAUUUACGCACUGAAAGUAAAUUUCUCUUAAUAGUAGGAACAACAAGAACAUUUUUUAGAGCAAAAGAGUUAGAAGAUGUAUUCAAUUGAGUUUCACCUGUCUGAGUAAUAUCAAGUAAAUUUCCAUUACCAACAAGAAUUUUUUCAUGCCCACUAUAAGGUUUAGAAGAUGAGAGAAUACCAGAGUUUGCGGUUAUAUGAUUUGAUGCUCCGGUAUCCGGAUACCAGACUUCCUCACCGGGUUCGUGAAGGUUCAUAGCAGCAAAGGUCUGAGGAACUUCAUCAGCAGCGAAAGAAUGAUUGAAGCGUUGUCUGCACUGAAGAGCAGAAUGAUUGAACUUUCCACAUAUCUGACAUUGUAUGCCGGACUUCGGAAUAUAUGGUUGUUGAUUUGGAGUGUAAGAUUGUUGAGGAUAAUUAGGUUGAGACUGUGGGUAGAUUUCAGGAGAUCCACG
rnacentral:lncRNA from 1 species